GAGUGGAAAUAUUUUACAGAAAUGAUGGGUUAUAAGGUGAACAAUAGUAAGAGUUCCAAGGUAUUUCACUGAUGGAUUUUAUUUUUAGAGUUUUUUUUUUUCCCCUGGAAGGAAGCAACUUGGCAACAGUCCCUUUGGAAACGAGGGCCAUGCUAACUGUUCAUCAUAAGUUAUAACCAUUUACACAAAGGAACAACAAAAGCAAGUUUGGACAUGUUUAUUAAUUACCAAAGUUAUUUUUUAGUCCAUGACUUAUUUUUAUCCUACAGACACUUUAGGAAAUCAGAGAAAAACUAUUUUCCUUCAAGAUAUACUGAGAAAGUGUUCUAAAAUAUCCCACAAUGUGAAAGAUAAUGAGUGCUUUAUUUUAUUAUUUUUAUUUUUUAAUUUAUUUUUUUUUCUUUUGAGGGCUGCACUCACAGCAUAUGGAAGUUCCCAGGCUAGGUUUCAAAUCAGGGUUGCAGCUGCUGGCCUACACUAUAUCCACAGCAACACCAGAUCUGAGCUAUAUCUGCAACCUACACCAUAGCUCACGACAAUGCCAGGUCCUUACCCCACUGAGUGAGGCCAGAGAUCGAAUCUAUGUCCUCCUGGAUACUAGUCAGGCUCAUUACCACUGAACCACAAUGGGAACUCCAGUGGUGUUUUAUUUUAAAAUUACUUCUAGGAGUUUCCAUCAUGGCUCAGUGGAAAUGAAUCUGACUAGCAUCCAUGAGGAUACAGGUUCAAUCCCUUGCCUCGCUCAGUGCGUAAUGGAUCUGGCAUUUCCGUGAGAUAUGAGAUAGGUCACAGACAUGGCUCAGAUCCCAGACUGGUAUGGCUGUGGUGUAGGCCAGCAGCUACAGCUCCGAUUCCACCCCUAGCCUAGGAACCUCCAUAUGCUUUGGGUGCGGCCCUAAAAAGACAAUAAAUAAAUAAAUAAAUAAAAUUAUAUCUCGAUAUCUCUCAUUCUUUAAUGACAAUGACUAGAAUACUGUAGAAAAGAACGCAUAGGGAGAUUCCUUGGUGGAAAAGAAAUAGGAAGUUGUUCCUAAAAUGACUCCUCCUUUUUAUUUCAAAGGACGACAUCAUUGGGGUUGCCAAACUUUUUAUUAUAGUUUUGAUGAAGUGACUUCACUCCAGAAAGUGACCACACUUUUUAAGGACUGUGGGGUCAUGACCAAGCAGGGAAAAGCUGGCCUGGCAGCUAUGAGGUCAAGAGAUGCCAGUGCUGAGUUAAGUUGGUAAUAUUAGCGUGUGAUAAUUGAAUUUGUGGAUUACUUAUUUUCUUCCUACUUUCAAAAGGAAUGUAAGUGACAUAUAAUAAAAGACACAGACACAUUAAGGGAAUCCUGUGAGGCAGCAAGUUAAACAUCAUGUGGAGGGUGCUUUGUGAACAGCCUCCCUGGCUGGCAGUGCCUGAAGCUUCCUCUCCCACCUGGCCCCUCUGAUGACUCUGAAUAGAGUUCCUAAUUCUUUCUCUGAGGAAACGACACCUAUUGUUCAUGACAUAAUGGGAGUCUUUUUUUCCUUUCCUCUUUCCAACUCCUUUUAAAUUCAAAGUACAAUUUACAUACAUGAAAUGUACAGAUUGUAAAUGGUGAAUUUGAUGAGUUUUGACAAAUGUAUGCAUCCAUUUGACCCACACCCCAAUUAAAAUAUAGACCAUUUCCAGAAAAUUCUUAUGCCUCCUAAGAGAGAAAUUGUGGUUGUAAAAAUAAUUUAUUUGCUUUCCUUUGUUACCAGAUAACACUUUUUGUGGCCUCCUUUGCCAGAUACCGUGAGUCAAGAGUAUGGAACCUAUAGUACUUUCCAUGACCUUGGGUGAUAGUGUGUUUAAUGAAUUUCAAGGUGGUAAUUAUAGCUGACAUUGUUAUGUAAGUUCUGAAAAUAAGACGAUGUGGUCAGAAUGCCUAGGUUCUCAAUAUAAAACCUUUGUUUUGCUUGAUGUAGGAGCAAUGUGUUGACAUGCAUUAAACAGAAUGGAUUCUAAUGCCAAGGGUGUUCCCGGGCUAUAGGGCAGGAAAUAUUGGGAGCUGCUUUUAAUGACUCUCCUGUUGGUUAAGCAAAGCCCUGUGUCUCUCAAAGGAGUGAACUUAAUUUUAGGAAGAGAAAGCACUGGGGAAAUAAAGUUGCAUAGGGGUAACCAGGCAGAAUUCUGCAUGUUUUUAUAGCUAGCCCUUGAAAAGUCUUUGAGCGGAGUAUAUCAUUUGCACCAUGAAGUAGCCUGGUUGUGUGAUGGCCAUGCUGAAAAGUCGCUCAACCAAGGUUUUGUUGAGAGGCUCCCAAAUGCCGUCUCUGGUAGAGCCUGUGUAGAUUUAAUAGCAAACAGUUACUGAACAUGCUUAGACUUUGGGGACCAAAGCCAUAUGUAGACACUGUCUACAGAAUUCCACUCUAGCCACCAGACCCGUGAAAGCACUUGUUAGGGAAAGAGAGAGAUAGAGAUUUAUCCUGCUUUUAAAAAUUAAAGACGCCUUUCCUAUACUAGGGCCUCCUGAGAAACAUGAACUUUUCUUUAACUGCAGUUAGUGCCAGUGGCAGAAGUACCACCAGGGGAGUUGUGUAGCUGAAACUGGGUUGAGGUGCUACAGUUUAUUUUAGAUUAAUGGGUUUCUCUGGUUUCAUUCCCAAAGUCCCCAACCAAGAGAUGUGGAUGUUUCUCCAGUCCUGGAACCAUUCUGCUUGCCCUGACUUGCCAGACUGAUUCUGCCUGCAGAUGUCAUCAUUCAUUUCUCUGGGGGCUUAGGGGUUGUUUUGAUUUAGGGAUAAAAGCUGGAGCAUGAAAGCAUAAUAGUUUCCCACUGGGAAACUGGUCUGACUAAAAUUUGUCAGUAUAUUUGUAGAAACUCCUUGCAUAACUUCAAGUAUACAUGUAUUCUCAAGUCACCGCAACUAAUGAUACUUAACCCUGCGGGAGGAAUUUUGGAAUUUCGAGAACAUUUGGCAUUAUUCUGGUAUAGGAAUCCACACUGGACAGAGGAGCUGGGGGCCAGUGUUCUAGCCCCUACUCCAUCACUAAAUUGAUGGGUCACUUGCAAAACAAGGAAAUUAUAAAGAGAUACCUUCUUAGGUCUUUUCCUGCUAAAUUUCUAGAUAGACAGCAUCAAAAUCAGAUUCAAUUUUAUGGGGAUGGAGUAAAAAUUUCGGGAUUGGCCAUAAUGAUCACCUGAAACUCAUAAAAAUUUCCAUCAGCAAAUCUUUAAUUGAACAUUACUUAUGAUUUUUGUAAUGAUAAAGUAGCUUAUAUAGGUCAUUCUGCUUAGAUAUCUCUAAAAUCUGGUUAAAUUGCAAA
rnacentral:lncRNA from 1 species